rnacentral:rRNA from 1 species
UGGGGAAUUUUGGACAAUGGGCGAAAGCCUGAUCCAGCAAUGCCGCGUGUGUGAAGAAGGCCUUCGGGUUGUAAACCUCUUUUAGUAGGGAAGAAGCGGAAGUGACGGUACCUGCAGAAAAAGCACCGGCUAACUACGUGCCAGCAGCCGCGGUAAUACGUAGGGUGCGAGCGUUGUCCGGAAUUAUUGGGCGUAAAGAACUCGUAGGCGGUCUGUCGCGUCUGCUGUGAAAACCCGAGGCUCAACCUCGGGCCUGCAGUGGGUACGGGCAGACUAGAGUGCGGUAGGGGAGAAUGGAAUUCCUGGUGUAGCGGUGGAAUGCGCAGAUAUCAGGAGGAACACCGAUGGCGAAGGCAGUUCUCUGGGCCGUAACUGACGCUGAGGAGCGAAAGCGUGGGGAGCGAACAGGAUUAGAUACCCUGGUAGUCCACGCCGUAAAACGUUGGGCGCUAGAUGUGGGGACCAUUCCACGGUUUCCGUGUCGCAGCUAACGCAUUAAGCGCCCCGCCU